CGCGAAAGCAAGGGGAUCAAACAGACUUAGAUACUCUGGUAGUCCUUGCCCUAAACGAUGGGUACUAGGUGUUCGUCCUUUUUAAGGAUGAGUGCCGCAGCUAACGCAUUAAGUACCCCACCUGGGGAGUACGAUCGCAAGGUUGAAACUCAAAGGAAUUGACGGGGACCCGCACAAGCGGUGGAGGAUGUGGUUCAAUUCGACGCAACGCGAAGAACCUUACCUAGGCUUGACAUGGUAGUGACCAACUAUGGAAACAUAGUCUUCCGCAAGGACACUACCACAGGUGGUGCAUGGCUGUCGUCAGCCCGUGUCGUGAGAUGUUGGGUUAAGUCCCGCAACGAGCGCAACCCUUAUCCUUAGUUGUUUCCACGAAAGUGGUUACCCUCUAAGGAGACUGCUCCGGAUAACGGGGAGGAAGGUGGGGAUGAUGUCAAGUCCGCAUGCUCCUUACGUCUAGGGCUACACACGUCCUACAAUGGGGCCGACAAAGGGAUGCAAUAUCGCAAGAUGGAGCUAAUCCUAAAACGGCCUCUCAGUUCGGAUUGCAGUCUGCAACUCGACUGCAUGAAGUCGGAAUCGCUAGUAAUGGUGGAUCAGCAUGCCGCCGUGAAUACGUUCCCGGGUCUUGUACACACCGCCCGUCACGUCAUGGGAGCCGGUAAUACCUAAAGUCGUUUGCCUAACCGCAAGGAGGGCGGCGCCUAAGGUAGGAUUGGUGACUAGGACGAAGUCGUAACAAGGUAGCCG
rnacentral:rRNA from 1 species